AGGAAGUAAAAGUCGUAACAAGGUUUCCGUAGGUGAACCUGCGGAAGGAUCAUUACAGAGUUCCUGCCCUCACGGGUAGAAACCCCACCCUUUGUAUAUUAUAUACUUGUUGCUUUGGCAGGCCGCCUUCGGGCACCGGCUUCGGCUGGUCCGUGCCUGCCAGAGGACCCCUAAACUCUGAAUGUUAGUGUCGUCUGAGUACUAUUCAAUAGUUAAAACUUUCAACAACGGAUCUCUUGGUUCUGGCAUCGAUGAAGAACGCAGCGAAAUGCGAUAAGUAAUGUGAAUUGCAGAAUUCAGUGAAUCAUCGAAUCUUUGAACGCACAUUGCGCCCCUUGGUAUUCCGGGGGGCAUGCCUGUUCGAGCGUCAUUUAUACCAAUCCAGCUUGCUGGGUCUUGGGCUUCGCCUCCGGGCGGGCCUCAAAAUCAGUGGCGGUGCCGCCAGGCUCUAAGCGUAGUAAAUCAUCAUCGCUCUAGGGUCCUGGCGGAGGCUGGCCAACAACCCCCCAUUUUAUCAGGUUGACCUCGGAUCAGGUAGGGAUACCCGCUGAACUUAAGCAUAU
rnacentral:rRNA from 1 species